CGCGAAGUUAGUUGAGCUAAGUAAUUAUAAGUAUUAGCUUGAUAAUAUGUUGCAAAAUAUAGUAAAUACUUACUUAGGGGUGAUAGGCUUAUCAAACCUAACUAUAUCUCGAUAUUUUUUAAAAACAUAAAGUGUUAAAACAGUUAAGUAGUUAUAAGGCUAUUUAAAAUCAUUAAUAAUUAAUAAUUGUAUUUGUUUAGGUCUAAUCACCAAACAUUGUGUUUAACUAAUAUAAAUAUAUAUAUAAUUAUGUUAACUAAAAGAUUUCGUUAUAAUACUUAUUAAACGUUUAUAAUGUACUUAUUAGUAUUUUAAAAAUUAUUAAAAAUGAACUCGGCAAUAUACCUUUCAACUGUUUAUCAAAAACAUAGCUAUGUGUAUAUAUACAUAGUAAUUUCUGCUCCAUGACCCAUUAAAUAGCCGCAGUACCCUGACUGUGCAAAGGUAGCGUAAUAAUUUGACUUAUAAUUGAAGUCCAGUAUAAACGAAAACUUGAGGGGUAACUUUAUCUUUGGUAUUUUAUGAAAUUACUUAGUAAGUGCAAAGCCUUACAUAUUAAUGAUAGACGAGAAGACCCUAGAAAUUUUUAUAACAUGUAUUAAUACUUUUUGUUGGGGCAACAAAGUAUCAGUUAAUUUACUUUAACAAACAAGCACACAUAUAAGGAAGAGUAAAUUACUCUAGGGAUAACAGCGUAAUUUUAUACAAGUUUGCGACCUCGAUGUUGGAUUAGGAAACAGUUGUUCAGAA
rnacentral:rRNA from 1 species